CUGCCCGUGCAGGCCGCUCCCGAGAUCGGUGGUGUGUUUCGGCCUCCCCGGCUGCGCCGCGGCGGGCACCGGUCGCGGUGCGUGCGUGCUCGUGGGUUGGAUUCGCGUCCGCCCCGGGUCGUGCGUACUUCGCCGGCCACCCCGUCGUGGUCGCUCCGGUGUGAUGGAUCGGGAUUUUCGCCCCGGUCACCAGGGGGAGGCCCGUGGUCUCCUGCCCUACCCUUGCCGGCUCCGCUCCCGGCGGUGCUCUUCGCUGAGCGUCCCGGGCGGCCGGCUUCUUUACUUUGAAAAAAUUAGAGUGUUCAAAGCAGGCGUCGCUGACGGCCUGUAUAAUGUUGCAUGGAAUAAUGGAAUAGGACCUCGGUUCUAUUUUGCUGGUCUUUCGGAACCAGAGGUAAUGAUUAACAGGGACAAACGGGGGCAUUCGUAUUGCGGCGUUAGAGGUGAAAUUCUUGGAUCGCCGCAAGACGACCUACUGCGAAAGCAUUUGUCAAGAAUGUUUUCUUUAAUCAAGAACGAAAGUCAGAGGCGCGAAGACGAUCAGAUACCGUCGUAGUUCUGACCAUAAACUAUGCCAUUUCCGGAUCCGCGGGAGUUGCUUCGAUGACUCCGCGGGCACGGGCCGGGAAACCAAAACUUUUGGGUUCCGGGGGAAGUAUGGUUGCAAAGCUGAAACUUAAAGGAAUUGACGGAAGGGCACCACCAGGAGUGGAGCCUGCGGCUUAAUUUGACCCAACACGGGAAAACUCACCCGGUCCGGACACCGCUAGGAUUGACAGAUUGAUAGCUCUUUCUUGAUUCGGUGGGUGGUGGUGCAUGGCCGUUCUUAGUUGGUGGAGCGAUUUGUCUGGUUAAUUCCGAUAACGAACGAGACUCUGGCCUAUUAACUAGACAGGCGGCUGUUCUCCCGUGCUAGCGGGCGCCGUCGACGACUUCUUAGAGGGACGAGCGGCGUAUAGCCGCACGAGAUUGAGCAAUAACAGGUCUGUGAUGCCCUUAGAUGUCCGGGGCCGCACGCGCGCUACACUGAAGGCAUCAGCGUGGUCGUCCACCUGGCCCGAGAGGGCUGGGAAACCCGUUGAAGCGCCUUCGUGCUAGGGAUCGGGGCUUGCAAUUGUUCCCCGUGAACGAGGAAUUCCCAGUAAGCGCGAGUCAUAAGCUCGCGUUGAUUACGUCCCUGCCCUUUGUACACACCGCCCGUCGCUACUAUCGAUUGAGCGGUUCAGUGAGGGCCUCGGAUCGGUCGCGGCCAUGCCAGCGGCGGCUCGUCCGUCCUGGCGCCGUUGUGCCGAGAAGACGCUCGAACUCGAUCGCUUGGAGAAAGUAAAAGUCGUAACAAGGUUUCCGUAGGUGAACCUGCGGAAG
rnacentral:rRNA from 1 species